CAGCAGCUCUUCUUGUUCUUUGAUGAAUUUUGGCCCAAAAUAAUUAAUUAUUCUAGCCUAUUGUAUUUUCCAUAGAACUAGCCCACAAUCUUUGCACCAAAUUAGAAAUUGACCCAACUCUAAUUAAAUUAGUGGCCCAACUAUUAUUCAGAAAAAGAGUAGCCCAAAUUCUAGGAUUAAAUCAACCCAUAUACUCCCUUCUUCUUUCUUUCCCCAACAAAAACGCAGCACCGCCAUGAAUCCGCCGCCGCCUCCUCCCUCCAUAAUCUUCCCCCUCUCCCUUUUCUCUCUCGUUUCUCUGAUCUGUCGUCGUUGCCCCCCUCUCUCCCGAUCUGUCCGCUCUUAUUUGUAAAGGUCUUGAAAUCACUGAAUCGGUGACAUAUCGGGGCUGUGGGGCUGUCCUCGUGUCGAUGGGGUGCCUAAGUCCAUACGCCGGAAUCCGGCAGAUUCAUACUCAAGAGAUAAGAUUCUUAACUUGUGCUUACUUGGUUUGUCUAUUAUAUGACUUUGGUGAAUUGUAAGUAUGUUAUGUGCCUUGCUAUUUGGGGGAUUCAACGAAGGAAUAUGUUGUUAAACUUGUUAUAGCAGAUUCUACUUUCAAAUUACAUGUAUAUGCUUGUACAUACAUUAAAGAAAAGAGAGGUUUGGGAUUUACCAGAAGUUGUGUUAAGGAAUUGGAAUUGAAUUUGCUCUUAAAAAAAAAAGGAACUUUCUUUAAUAUGCUGUCUCUAGUUUUUGAUUUCUUGGUAUUUGAUGGAAGAAAGUGGUGAAGGAAAUUGUGGACGAAGAAUGAUAUGUAUAUAUUGUUGGGACACUUCUGGGAUUAUAUUUGUGAGUUAGUGUGCAGGAGGUGGUCUAAUCAAAGCAGGAGGUGGAGGUGGGGGAUAACUACGUGGCUUGAGGAGGGGAGAGUAAACAAGCAGGAAUUAAUCAAGCAGGAAGAAGUAGGAGAGCUAUCUCAACUUAUGUAAAGAGGGACCUUUGGGCUCCAAGACUAAAUUAUUUUGGUGAUUUGGGUUUUCCAAGAAUGAGCUCCAAAAUGAUGUAAUUUUUCUUUUUAAUUUAGGCCCACAAGAAAUAAAUUCUUUUAGUAAUAUUUGAAAAUUCGUUGGAGAAUAAAACAACAACAACUAUUCUAUA